rnacentral:rRNA from 1 species
AGUGAACGCUGGCGGUAUGCCUAACACAUGCAAGUCGAACGGCAGCACAGUAAGAGCUUGCUCUUACGGGUGGCGAGUGGCGGACGGGUGAGGAAUACAUCGGAAUCUACUUUUUCGUGGGGGAUAACGUAGGGAAACUUACGCUAAUACCGCAUACGACCUACGGGUGAAAGCAGGGGAUCUUCGGACCUUGCGCGAUUGAAUGAGCCGAUGUCGGAUUAGCUAGUUGGCGGGGUAAAGGCCCACCAAGGCGACGAUCCGUAGCUGGUCUGAGAGGAUGAUCAGCCACACUGGAACUGAGACACGGUCCAGACUCCUACGGGAGGCAGCAGUGGGGAAUAUUGGACAAUGGGCGAAAGCCUGAUCCAGCCAUACCGCGUGGGUGAAGAAGGCCUUCGGGUUGUAAAGCCCUUUUGUUGGGAAAGAAAAGCAGCAGGUUAAUACCCCGCUGUUCUGACGGUACCCAAAGAAUAAGCACCGGCUAACUUCGUG